CUGAAUGCUAGAUCAAGAUCAUUAAAGCAGAAGACAGAAAAGACUGUACAACCAUAUGAUUCCCUGUAACUAUGAAUGAUGAUUUUCAAGCUGAAGCUUGGAACUAUUUCUCCAAAAGCAUGUCUCAACAUUAAAUAUUAAGACAUCACUUUAAAAAGUGUAAACUUGGAGAUACAACCUCAAAUGCUACAGAGGCAAGUCAGAAAUAAAAGGCCAGGAAGUGCAUAAGAGAGCUGGGAGUGGCAAAGUAUACAACGUGAGAGUGUGUUUCCUCAACCAAAAAUAUUCAAAUUCAAUUCUGUUCAGGUCCAAACUAAU